rnacentral:pre_miRNA from 1 species
AAUAGAUGACCCCGUUGACUUUUUCUCACAUGUUUGACCAUCAGUCUUAUUCAAAAUUUUUACGUAAUUAUAAUUUAUUUUAUUAUUAGUUGUUUUAUCACUCAUAAUACUUUAAGUGUGAUUUAUAUCUUAUACAUUUGCAUAAAAUUUUGAAUAAGACGAAUGGUCAAACAUGUGAGAAAAAGUUAACGGCGUCAUCUAUU